rnacentral:rRNA from 1 species
UACGUAGGGUGCAAGCGUUAAUCGGAAUUACUGGGCGUAAAGCGUGCGCAGGCGGUUUGCUAAGUGAGAUGUGAAAUCCCCGGGCUUAACCUGGGAACUGCGUUUCUAACUGGCAGGCUUGAGUGUGGCAGAGGGGGGUGGAAUUCCACGUGUAGCAGUGAAAUGCGUAGAGAUGUGGAGGAACACCGAUGGCGAAGGCAGCCCCCUGGGCUAACACUGACGCUCAUGCACGAAAGCGUGGGGAGCAAACGGG